rnacentral:rRNA from 1 species
UACAGAGGGUGCAAGCGUUGUUCGGAAUUACUGGGCGUAAAGCGCGUGUAGGCUGCGGCGUAAGUCAGGUGUGAAAGCCCUCAGCUUAACUGAGGAAGUGCACUUGAUACUGCGUCGCUUGAGUGUUGGAGGGGGUGGCGGAAUUCCCGGUGUAGAGGUGAAAUUCGUAGAUAUCGGGAGGAACACCUGUGGCGAAGGCGGCCACCUGGACAACAACUGACGCUGAGACGCGAAAGCGUGGGUAGCAAACAGG